GUGGCUGUGGCGCAAUGGUCAGCGCGUCGGAUUGUGGUUCCGAAUGUUGUGGGUUCGAAUCCCAUCAGCCACC
rnacentral:tRNA from 1 species